AUACAAUUUUUUAGGAGCAUCAGAAAAUAAAGGAAUCUUAAGCAGAAAGUCCGAGGAGAGUGUAACUGGGAAUACAAUUUUUAAAGGAUUUCUUGGCUAUAUUUGUUUAGUUCCUAUCUCUAUAUU
rnacentral:sRNA from 1 species